GGUUGCAGAAUCUACUGCAACAACAGAGGGAGGGUGGCUAACAAACACCACUUGGGAAGGCCUGCAAUGAAAGCUUAACAACCACUUUUCUUCUUACCACAACACAGGACCUCUUCCCCCUAUCCAUCCCAUCUCAACUCCUCUCAGAACUCUCUCCCAGCUCUCGUGGACCAGCUGUCUUCCCUCCUUAGGAGACAAUCAUUCUAUCUAACAACUUCCAACCUUCCCAGUGCCUCACCUCCACCCCACCUGCUGCCCUCAUUUUAUGCCUCUUUCUCUGAAGCUGUCCUGAAGAGAGUUGGAAAAUAGCUACUCAACUUCCAUACCUGAGAAAAACAGCCCCUUGAGAUUUAAAGGCAAUUACUUGGCUUCUUCCCUGGAGGAGCUGAAAGGAUGAGGUCGCUGAUCAAACAAAAGAGAGGCUCUGCAGAAAGCAGGAGUUGAGGCUGGACUCUGAAGAAGGCCCCAAAGGGUGUCUUGCAGCCAGCUUACCCCCACUGUCGCCACAGCAACACCUAGAUGAUGGAAGCCUCCCCAGAGUUUCCCUGGCUCCCAGCCAGGAAUGAGGAUGAGUAGGAGGCUGAAAGCAUGAGAGGGAUUAGGGAAGACAAAAGGGGCAGAGAAGGCAAGUGGGAUACAGAAAAGGAAGAAAAAAUAGUAUAGGAAAGAAGGGAAAUCCAAGAAAGAUGGUGGCAAGGGGAGGAAGGGGGAAGAUGGUGUGGAAAGAGUCAAAGAGAAAGAAGAGAGAGGACAGAGGCCUUAGAGACUCCCUUGACCAUUCCUUUGCUGACUCAAAGACAGGCAAAACCUCUUGUCAGGGUUUGGUACAGACUGGCUGGCUGGUUGGCUGACUGGCUGACUGGCUGGCUGGUUGGCUGGCUGGCUGGCUGCUAGCUAGUUGGUCUUUUGAUUUUAGAGACAGAACCUCAUGUACCCCAAAUUGGCCUUAAGUUCUCCCAAGUGCUUAGACUGUGGGUAUGCACUACCACACCUGAUUUCAAGGUUUUCUUUACCUCCAUUCUACUCUGAGAGGGAAUUAAAGGGCAAAGAUCUAAAGAGGUCCGGGCUUUUCUCUAACUGAAUCUACCUGGCCUUCCAGGCCUAUUGCAUAGCCAACCUCUUAACCUUCUUCUCGGCAAAAAUUGACAAGUGCAACCUCAUGUAGAACCACCUGGCCUCCCCAGACUGCUUCCUGGGCUCUUGGGCAAGCAUAAUAGCAUUGGGGUUCUAAAGGACUUAUAGAGUCCUCAUAAAAUAAAAGGUAGAUGAAAUACAAGAUUAGAGAUAAAAGACAUGGCGUAGAAGAGGGAGACUAUAAAAACUAGGGGAGAAGAAUCCCCUGGAGCAAAGCUGAGAACGAAGGAAGAAAGCUGACCCAGGAGUGAGAGCAAACCUCCCUCCCCCGUUCUCCACAGGUCUAGAUAGCGGAGGGAUGAGAUCAACCCAGUGAUAUUACUGCAAGUCAAGUAUUUAGGAUGAAUGUAAGCGGGGGAGGGGUUGCUUCCCGUGCUGACCUUUGCUCUGAACUACGAUUGUUCCACCUUUGUCCAGUUCACCAAUCAGGACGAGGUAACAAAGACUCCUGUUCUCCUUUCACAGGAGCCCACACCCUUCAGUGUAUCCUCCUUCCAGCUGCAUUAGCCUCUCAUUCACUGAGCUCAGACGCAUGCCCUCACCCCUCCCAUGGAAUCAUCAGCAAGACUCUACCGAAUCGUGCCCCAGUUAACUUGAGGUGGAAGGAGCCACAGUUCAUCCUGCAAUCUUCACAGCAGCUCCACAGCCAUUUGCAGAGAAUGGGUGAAUGACAGCAAGAUUUGCAAUACCAGUAAGAGCCACAUAAGAUCACUGGAUGGGGCAAAUACAACAUGAGAACCAGUGGCAGAAUCAAUCAAUGAGAAUCUGGAUUCCUCAGCUUCCUCCUGCUGUCCUCUGGAUCUCCCUCGGAAUUGCGAAAAUACUUGAAUGUGUCACAAAUACAACAAAAGAUCACAUAUACAUCAUAUCCCAUUACCAACACGCUCGUUCACAUACACUUAUACAUCAUCACAUUGUUGCCUAAAACCACACGCGGCAUUCAGGUAAGAGCAAACCUUCCCAGAAUAUUAACUGCCAAACACCACACCAUUCCUAGCCAUAAAAAAAAAAAAA
rnacentral:sRNA from 1 species